CUGUGCCAAGCGUCUGCCGACUAAAUUAGUUAUUUGCUCUAAAUAGGCAACAUUCAUUUGCAACUGUUAGCUAGCGUGUAUAAAUUGAUGUGAACAUAUGUGAAGGGUGAGCUCUGGUCAACGAAUUUACACACCUCGCACACGCCAAUAUCGAGUAGCAUUCGCAUGUGGCCUUCAAAGCGCCGCAGGCUGGCCAACAAACCGACCACAGACUGGAUUCUGGCUGCUGCAACAUAUGGCCUAAAGGGUGUAGCUGCUAUAGACUGCCGCUGACAACCCUUUUCAUUUGCCCUGUGCUGUACUUGUUCACAUUUUUUUUCUCGUCUUUGCUUUACAUAAAACCCCGUUGCGGUUCUUUCUUUCUUUUCGCUUAAAGAAGACCAAGACUUUAAUAGAUUGGAAGUUUGUUUCAUGUUCCAUUAAAUACAUUUUUAUUAGUUCGAUUGAUAUACCCAGAGUAUCUGCUGACUUGAUGGCACUUUGUGUGCUUUGCAUGUGUUCUUUACUGUCAUAUGUAUACAUUCAUUUAAUACGGAUAAGUUUGAGGUUGACCCCUAAAAAUCCUGGCGAAGGCCAGCAAAGUAAGCACACGCUAUAAAUAGGUCAAGGCUACUGAAAAACUGUCAAAAUCUUUUGAAAAAAUGUUCGGCUUAGAGAAUACCUGACCUGUACUUCACAUCCAGACGCUCGUUGGUCGGUUUACUGAAUGACUGGGUCACUUUGACAGCUAAUCUACCGAGAACUACAUCAAUGUAUUUUGUUGCCACUCAUAAUAAGAAACUUGGAAGGCUUUCCAGUCAGCAGCCUGAUAUCUAUUUGCGCAAACAAUUGGCCCCUGGCCCACCCUUUCAACAGUUUAUUAGCGCACGGCACGCAUGAGCUAUGUGUAGCUGCGAUUUUAAAAUGCUAACCCGAGUGUGUGUAACUACGAUAUGUUCAUUUAAAUGGCGGGCACAACAAGCUGUGGCCCUGCAAUCAUGUCAAGAAUUCAAUAUCAAAAUGCGCGCACAGCUGUCGCUGAUGACACCGAGGAACGCAACAAACAGGCCCCAAACCCCAUGUUGCGGUGCCAUUGAUGAACUGGCUUGUAGUUGGCAGAGGGGCUGGCCAGGGGGCUACCCGCGUUUUGAUUGCAAAUGUGAAGCAGCAAGCACACUCACACACAACUAAUAACGCAUUGUGGGUCUAAAUCAAUUGUAAACAAGCUUUUUGACAAUAUAAGCACACACACAUACAACAAGAUAUAAUUUAAUACAAUAAACUUAUUAUAGAACA